rnacentral:sRNA from 1 species
AAAGGUUAUGCAGCGCGUGAACAUGAUCAUGGCAGAAUCACCAGGCCUCAUCACCAUCUGCCUUUUAGGAUAUCUACUCAGUGCUGAAUGUACAGUGUUUCUUGAUCAUGAAAAUGCCAACAAAAUUCUGAAUCGGCCAAAGAGGUAUAAUUCAGGUAAAUUGGAAGAGUUUGUUCAAGGGAACCUUGAGAGAGAAUGUAUGGAAGAAAAGUGUAGUUUUGAAGAAGCACGAGAAGUUUUUUGUGAGUCCAACCCAUGUUUAAAUGGCGGCAGUUGCAAGGAUGACAUUAAUUCCUAUGAAUGUUGGUGUCCAUUUGGAUUUGAAGGAAAGAACUGUGAAUUAGAUGUAACAUGUAACAUUAAGAAUGGCAGAU